CAGCAGCCACGGGAAAACGGAGGGUGCAAGCGUUAUCCGGAUUCACUGGGUUUAAAGGGUGCGUAGGCGGGCAGGUAAGUCAGUGGUGAAAUCUUCGAGCUUAACUCGGAAACUGCCGUUGAUACUAUCUGUCUUGAAUAACGUUGAGGUGAGCGGAAUAUGUCAUGUAGCGGUGAAAUGCUUAGAUAUGACAUAGAACACCGAUUGCGAAGGCAGCUCACUAAACGCUCAUUGACGCUGAGGCACGAAAGCGUGGGGAGCAAACAGGAUUAGAUACCCCCGUAGUCCCUGUCUCUUAUAC
rnacentral:rRNA from 1 species